CGCUUCUGAUUGGCCGUCGCUGACAGCGGGUCGCGCGCCUGCCCGAGAGGUUCGAUCGGCCUCGAACGAGUGCCCGGCGCGGUGCGUGAACAUCGCCGCUCACGGAGAUACAAAGGCGGCGUGGGACACCGCGUGGUUCGCUACCCACACAGCCCCCUUCGUGUGCCCUGCCGGCCGUCGGAGCUCCGAGAUGAAAAUGGAACUUUCCCGUCCAGCAGGAGAAGCUCUGGUUGUGUCGUCGUCAGCGCCACCACCACCACCCGACCGCGUGCCAUCACUCGCGCUGUCACUGCUGCGUGGUGACCCUCUGUGACAAACGUGAUGCUGUACGUCUAAAGAAGCAAUGAACUUAAACCAAAAAUUACCAGUCGCCCAGCCAGCAAACCAGUCAACCAGCUAACCAACAAAUUCACCAACCAGUCGACUAACAACUAACUAACUAACUAGGUAACACAUCGACCAUCCAACCAGCCAACUACUCAACCAAUCAACUGAAACAUCAACCAUUCAACCAAUUCACCACCCAACGAGUGAGCCAACUAACCAACCUCCCAACCAACCAGUAGACCAAUCAACCAGUUAACCAACUAACCAACCUGUCAACCAACCAGUAAACCAGUUAACCAACCGGUCAACCAGUUAACCAACCAUUACAACCAAUCAGCCAAAAACUCGUGGUUCAAGGCGGUCCGCUAAUCAUCCAACCAGUGUCACUGCAAUCGCGAUUUGACAACUCUUCGUCGACCCAAAUGUCGCCGCGCAUGCCGGAAAUAGUUACCCGGGGCCGGAUUUGAGUCCAUCCCUCGACACUGAUGUGAGCCACUGUCCACGCAACUAUGCCGAGGCUAAGCUAAUCGAACCGUCGUCUCGUUGCGCUCCCGUGAAAUGUGUACAGGAUGCACGCUAAAGUUAGCGUCUGGGCUGGAGAAAAUAAAAAAACAGAGCGUGAAUUACUCUAUGGCAGUGUUGUAAACACACGUCGCGAAAUCAUAUAUUGUACCGAGAAAUAAUGACGUAUUCUCCGGAUUGUAAGAGGCACACCCCACCCCCCCCCACACACACAAACUCGUGCCGUGUGUGUCAAUAAAGUUAUACGGCUCUGGUCAUCCACACACGCGCGCGCACAACUACCGGAUUAUAAGACGCACCACCCCUCCACACAAACUCGUGCCGUGUGUGUCAAUAAAGUUAUACGGCUCUGGUGAUCCACACACGUGCACGCACAACUACCGGAUUAUAAGACGCACCCCCCCCCCACCUACAACCAAAUUCUACUCGGACACAAAUGGCGUUGUGAUGCUACUGCUGCGUUGGGGGCAGUGGCGUACAAGCACAAUUAAUAACAACAACAACAAAUCUUCUUGGUUCUUUCGGUAUAGUCACGUAGAAGGGAAGUAAUAAAAUAAUACAAAUAAAACAUAAUAAAAUAAUUCUCACGACGUUUCGGCCACAACG